rnacentral:rRNA from 1 species
UCGGGAAUAUUGCGCAAUGGAGGAAACUCUGACGCAGUGACGCCGCGUAUGGGAAGAAGGUUUUCGGAUUGUAAACCAUUUUAGACAGGGAAGAAAAAGACAGUACCUGUAGAAUAAGCUCCGGCUAACUACGUGCCAGCAGCCGCGGUAAUACGUAGGGAGCAAGCGUUAUCCGGAUUUAUUGGGUGUAAAGGGUGCGUAGACGGGAAUGCAAGUUGGUUGUGAAAUCCCUCGGCUUAACUGAGGAACUGCAACCAAAACUGUAUUUCUUGAGUGCUGGAGAGGAAAGUGGAAUUCCUAGUGUAGCGGUGAAAUGCGUAGAUAUUAGGAGGAACACCAGUGGCGAAGGCGACUUUCUGGACAGUAACUGACGUUGAGGCACGAAAGUAGUGGGGAGCAAACAGGAUUAGAUACCCUGGUAGU